rnacentral:rRNA from 1 species
ACGGGUGAGUAACGCGUGGGUAACCUACCCUGUACACACGGAUAACAUACCGAAAGGUAUGCUAAUACGGGAUAAUAUAUUUGAGAGGCAUCUCUUAAAUAUCAAAGGUGAGCCAGUACAGGAUGGACCCGCGUCUGAUUAGCUAGUUGGUAAGGUAACGGCUUACCAAGGCAACGAUCAGUAGCCGACCUGAGAGGGUGAUCGGCCACAUUGGAACUGAGACACGGUCCAAACUCCUACGGGAGGCAGCAGUGGGGAAUAUUGCACAAUGGGCGAAAGCCUGAUGCAGCAACGCCGCGUGAGUGAUGAAGGCCUUCGGGUCGUAAAACUCUGUCCUCAAGGAAGAUAAUGACGGUACUUGAGGAGGAAGCCCCGGCUAACUACGUGCCAGCAGCCGCGGUAAUACGUAGGGGGCUAGCGUUAUCCGGAUUUACUGGGCGUAAAGGGUGCGUAGGCGGUCUUUCAAGUCAGGAGUGAAAGGCUACGGCUCAACCGUAGUAAGCUCUUGAAACUGGGAGACUUGAGUGCAGGAGAGGAGAGUGGAAUUCCUAGUGUAGCGGUGAAAUGCGUAGAUAUUAGGAGGGACACCAGUUGCGAAGGCGGCUCUCUGGACUGUAACUGACGCUGAGGCACGAAAGCGUGGGGAGCAAACAGGAUUAGAUACCCUGGUAGUCCACGCUGUAAA